UACGGAGGUGGCAAGCGUUGUUCGGAGUUACUGGGCGUAAAGGGUGUGUAGGCGGUUAUUUAAGUUUGGUGUGAAAUCUCCCGGCUCAACCGGGAGGGUGCGCCGAAUACUGAAUGACUUGGAGUGCGGGAGAGGAAAGUGGAAUUCCUGGUGUAGCGGUGAAAUGCGUAGAUAUCAGGAGGAACACCGGUGGUGUAGACGGCUUUCUGGACCGUAACUGACGCUGAGACACGAAAGCGUGGGUAGCAAACAGG
rnacentral:rRNA from 1 species